GAUGAACGCUGGCGGCGUGCCUAAUACAUGCAAGUCGAGCGAACGGACGAGAAGCUUGCUUUUCUGAUGUUAGCGGCGGACGGGUGAGUAACACGUGGAUAACCUACCUAUAAGACUGGGAUAACUUCGGGAAACCGGAGCUAAUACCGGAUAAUGUUUUGAACCGCAUGGUUCAAAAGUGAAAGACGGUCUUGCUGUCACUUAUAGAUGGAUCCGCGCUGCAUUAGCUAGUUGGUAAGGUAACGGCUUACCAAGGCAACGAUGCAUAGCCGACCUGAGAGGGUGAUCGGCCACACUGGAACUGAGACACGGUCCAGACUCCUACGGGAGGCAGCAGUAGGGAAUCUUCCGCAAUGGGCGAAAGCCUGACGGAGCAACGCCGCGUGAGUGAUGAAGGUCUUCGGAUCGUAAAACUCUGUUAUUAGGGAAGAACAUAUGUGUAAGUAACUGUGCACAUCUUGACGGUACCUAAUCAGAAAGCCACGGCUAACUACGUG
rnacentral:rRNA from 1 species